CCAGGAAGCACUGGCAAAGAAGAGGGAGGAGGAUGGUCCCAGUCUCACGCAGGAACAGAGAGUUCACAUAAGCCUGGGUGUCAUUUCUUCCUCAUUCAUCCUU